GACGAACGCUGGCGGCGUGGAUUAGGCAUGCAAGUCGAACGGUAUCAUCCUUUCGGGGGUGAGAGAGUGGCGAACUGGUGAGUAACACGUAGGUUAUCUACCCUCAAGACGGGGACAACCCAGGGAAACUUGGGCUAAUACCGGAUGUGAGCAACUUUUAGUUAGUUUGAAAGGUGGCGUAAGCUGUCGCUUGGGGAUGAGCCUGCGUCCUAUUAGUUAGUUGGUGAGGUAACGGCUCACCUAGGCAAUGAUAGGUAGGCGGCCUUAACGGGUGGUCGCCCACACUGGGAUUGAGAUACGGCCCAGACUCCUACGGGAGGCAGCAAGUCGAGAAUAGUCUACAAUGGUCGGAAGACUGAUAGUGCGACGCCGCGUGAACGAUGAAUCCCUUCGGGGUUAAAGUUCUUUUAUAUGUGAGCAGUGCUUCUUAUAUUAACAGUAUGGGGAGAGAGAUAUUAGCAUAUGAAAUAAGCAAACGGCUAAACUCCGUGCCAGCAGCCGCGGUAAUACGG
rnacentral:rRNA from 1 species